AUUCAGUGAAUCAUCGAAUCUUUGAACGCACCUUGCGCUCC
rnacentral:rRNA from 1 species